AGUUUGAUCCUGGCUCAGAUUGAACGCUGGCGGCAUGCCUUACACAUGCAAGUCGAACGGUAACAGGUCUUCGGAUGCUGACGAGUGGCGAACGGGUGAGUAAUACAUCGGAACGUGCCCGAGAGUGGGGGAUAACGAAGCGAAAGCUUUGCUAAUACCGCAUACGAUCUCAGGAUGAAAGCAGGGGACCGCAAGGCCUUGCGCUCACGGAGCGGCCGAUGGCAGAUUAGGUAGUUGGUGGGAUAAAAGCUUACCAAGCCGACGAUCUGUAGCUGGUCUGAGAGGACGACCAGCCACACUGGGACUGAGACACGGCCCAGACUCCUACGGGAGGCAGCAGUGGGGAAUUUUGGACAAUGGGCGCAAGCCUGAUCCAGCCAUGCCGCGUGCAGGAUGAAGGCCUUCGGGUUGUAAACUGCUUUUGUACGGAACGAAAAGACUCCUUCUAAUAAAGGGGGUCCAUGACGGUACCGUAAGAAUAAGCACCGGCUAACUACGUG
rnacentral:rRNA from 1 species